ensembl:lncRNA
CAGCCUGAUUGUGCACCUCAGCUCCUCGCAAGCAUUGUGAAUAUGGAAAUGACCACCUCCAGAAAUGAGCACCAAUAGUGGCAACAGUAUGCUGCAGGAUGUGGCAAAGACAUGCGAGUCUACCUCAUGGAGCUAACAGAAAAUCAGAAAAAAAGACCAUGAGGUGCGCAGGCGUGUGUGUAUGCGACAGGCCAUGCCAAGAGGCCCAGGGAAGAGGGACAUGAAAGCCAUUGCCUUGUGCUUACCGAGAACUUGCCAUACAGCUGCUCGGUCAGCAGAGGGGUCGGGAGCUCCCUGAAGUACAUCUUGCACAGGGAGCUCACGCUGUGAACGUCACGGACGCUUAGCUCCGGAAUCUGCUCCGACUCAAAUUCGUGGCUGGAGAGAAGGACACAAAAACAUUGGGCUUUGAGAAAGAGGAAGACAAGUCCAAAGCAAUACACGACAGAGUCAAGAAAAGGAAGGGGUUCCUGAUUCACAGGAGAAAAGAAACGCUCUGACAACUGGCUGCCUACUCCACAAUCACAUGCCAGGAGCCCAGAGCAGCAAGGAGGAGUGCGGGCUGCUCCAAAGGGCUCUGCCAACAAGAGGAAACGGGAAUGAGAGCUGACACCGCAGUCCCCCACAGCCUUCCAAUGCUCUCAAGGACUGAAGGAGAACUUCCUGCCCCAGCAAGUCUACUCAACGCCCCGUGUUCCUAUCAAACAGACACAAGCCUGGCGCACCACCGCUGAGCGCACGCUGCCUGCACACAGCUGCCCCACAGCGCAGGCCUCGGAACGCCCGCAGCAUGGCACAUGCCCCUACUGACAGCUGUGUCAGUCGCAGCACUCUUACCGUAGCUUCUGGAUCUUGGACGCCACGCCAGACAGGCGGUAGAUCCCCUGCACCACGCCGUGCUGCUCAAUGAACUCAGCGCAGCUCUGCAGGACCUGGGGGACUACGGAACAAGUGCCAGCGGUUAGCUGAGCUCCUGAUUCAAGUCCUGCUUCAGCCGCUGCUCCUGUCACGUCCCAUCCACUAAGCCCAGCCGCGCUACUGCAUGCCUCCUCCUUAGAGGAGAAAGAAAGCCGGCACAGACGUCUCUGACAGGCAGGAGCCGGGGAGGAAACUGAACACAGAUGUGUUCUUGGCUUUCCAGAAAUGCCAGGACCUGCCAACCAGCCUGCAGAAAGUAAUUCUGGGGAAGCCAGAGACACUGCAAGUCCCAUCACAGCUCCCACCGCAAUGGAGGCAUGAGACCUCACGUCCAGAAGAGCUAGAAACUGAUGCAGUACACUCUCUUUGGCCAAAAGGCUGCCUUUGUUUUCAGGCUAGCCGUGGCAUUGGCUUACACCUUUUGCUUUAAGCAAAUACAAGUGGGCUGCUCUCCUAUGGGCAUUAGCCUCAGCUUACCUUUCAGCCAUCAACUCCCAUUGCACGUUUCUCCACCGCUAUCAACCUGACCCUUGCCAGAGGUGAUCUCCCUUUCAUCUUUACAUGCCCAACAGAGGAAGCUCUCAGGAACGGGCUGUUUCUUACCGUCACGGCCAGAGUGGAGAAGAUGCUCUCCCAGGUCACAGCCAAACACCCCUUCCUUCUCCUUUGCCAUCUCCCGCUGCUUCGGUUCCUUUGGGCGGGCCUUCGCGAAGGAACGAAGGAAGCUGAUGAGCUUGCCACGCUUCUUUGGCACUGCACAACACAAGGAAGAAACCAGUUCAUUUCACGUUGGGCUCAGCGGGACCAGGCUGAGUGUCACACAUUCUACAGAGCACGUAAAAGCGGGAAGAACAUUGCCAACAAGUACAUACAACAGCGGAUUUUCCCCGUCCCUGGAGGACUCCAAGGCCACGUUGGAUGGGGCCCUGGGCAGCCUGGUCUAGUCUGGCAUUCAAAGUGGAGGUUGGCAGCCCAGCCUGAGGCACGGGGCUUGGAGCUUGAUGAUCCUUGAGGUCCCUUCCAUCCCAAGCCAUUCUACGAGGAUCCUAUCAUUUGCCCAAGCCCUCAUUCUCACUGCCUACAAAACAGCAGCCGUAUGCCCCGUGGGAUGCAUGAAGGAUCAUCAACACAGAGGAUAACGUGGGAUGGAUAAAGGAGCUAUUCAACACGGAACACACCCAGAAAAAGACUCCCUCUGACUUCCCCGCGCCAUCACAUGUAACAUCCGUACCUGGCUUUGGUGCUGAAUCGAUGAGGGCCUCAGGAAUUUUUCCGUUGAUGAGCUCCACGCACUCACCAGGGAAAAAUCCCACCUGGAACAAGAACAAGAAGAGAGAUGGAAGACUGAAUGCAGCACUUCUCAGGCCUCCACCGUUCAACCAAGAAAGAAUGGCCUGCAGAAAAGGAACCCUCAUUCCACAUUUGCAGCCAAAAGACCUACAAAACCAAGACUUGGUUCCGCAGAAGAUGGCUCUGUCCUCCGUGCUUGUACAAAGGACAGACAUGGUCAACUCCUGACUGUGCAGUGAGCAGGAGAGGCUCUUGCUUCUAAGUCACAUGAGGAGACGGUUUCCUACCCAAGCCCAGAGCCAAAGGGAAAGGCCGCUGACACCGACACAGGGAAACUGUUUACGUCCAGAAGCCACCCUGUGCAGGCCGAGCAGCUCGAAGCUGACCUUCCUGACUUGACUGCCGUUGCGCCCGCAAGUCUGAAGCUUGUGCCUACCUGGAAGCCACGCUUGCCUCUCCACCAGGGGCUCAGCUCCUUUGCUGGCAUAGCAAGAAUGCACACCAGGUCUCCCACCUGCAAGACAUUGCAACAUCAAUCCCAGCUUCAGCACAGCUGCGAGGAAAGCACAGCUGAAAUGACGCCCUUCUUCUGCACUGCCAAAUAGCGCACAGCUUGAGAGCAAUUGCACCGGGGCAGCUCUUCAGGCAUUUCCCGUCAGAAAGCUGAACUGGCACGUACAAGAGUCACUGCCUUGCACACCAGACAGAAUACAGUGCAAGCAUGCCAAAUCAAACCGUCUUUUACACAUGGCUGAACUCCUCCCUGCAUCCAACCCAGUGCAAGUCCUAUCUGGACCUGCAUCUUCUGGGCUUCGCCUCACAGGGCAUUCUGAAGGUGUCGGAGAAUAUUCCUGAUGCAUUCACACGGUAGACUCUUCUGGCCGUGACAACAAGGAACGCCUUUAACUGCUUACCUCCAAGGAGAGCUCAUCCGCUGCCUGGGCAACGUAUCUCUUAAUAACAUGGCCAGCAGCAAUAGCCGGAAUAUUAAGAGAUGGCUCCUCAUGCACCAGCAAGGGCUUCCCCUGGUUCUCAGGCUGAAACAGAGAGCACAGGCCACGGUGAGGAGCUGAGGACAAACAAGGAGGAUUGCAGGGUGCCAUCUACAUGCCACUAGCAAGGAAAUGAACCUUUCAAGGCAGCUCUUCAGUGACACCAAGAGAGCCGGAAGGAUGCUCUCUCUCUAUCUUGAAAAGCAGGAGAGCACACCUGUGGCUCACACUGCGGGUUCAAGUCAGGGAACAAAGACCAAUCACAGCUUCACACCAUACCUCUGUCCAUGCCAGGUCAGGCCCACAGCUGAUCUUGCUGCUCGCGAUGCCCAUCACAGCAGGCUCGACAAGCUGCAACAGAAAAGAAACACAUUUCCUGUGUUCACACAGCACUGGAUUGAGAGUCUUCUUCAGAACUACUCUCAGUUGCCCACUGGCGGAGGCAGGUGUUCUACAAACAACCACUCUGUGCAGUCUAUUCAAACGGGACAGCCUUGCCCACGCAUUUCCUCUGCCUGCAUGCCCGCUGUGCUCCCUACAGCUGUCGGGCACACUCCCACAGCCAAAGCAUGCACGCUUCUGCCCCUGGCUCAUGCUGUGCAGCCCUGCACAAACUGCGGCUAGGGCUCUUUGCCUAAGGGAUUGCUUUCCUUCACACUAGCUGCUCCCAGCACUACAGGCAGCAUCCUGCCGAGGGCUGAGCUGGAGGGGAAGUGGAAAAAACCCACGCGUGACCAGUGCCGCAUCCCAGCUGGACGAGCCUGUGUUACUACACACGGUGCGACUAAACACGGGCUGCUGAACCAUGUGGCAAUACAAAGCAUGGCACGUACCUGGCAAGAGAUCAGAACAAGGUAGAAGAAGAUCCUCAAACACGCAGCCGGUCCUUGUCACUUUGCUCUGAUCUUCCGUGAGCAAAAGCUGCACCAAGGGAGCAGGCGGAAGGUGGGGAGGGGACAGAGAAAGAGCAGGUCAGUGAGCCUGCACAAUUUAGCAAGGAAGGCGAGGGAAAAACCGUGGGACAAAUGCCACCUUGAUGGAUGGAGGGCUUUGGAAUGGAUGGCCUGGGGGAAAAUGGCGUCUGACGGUCCAGACUAAGCAAUAUGAUCCUAGGAGCUCCGCCAGCCAGCACUUCUCAAGCCCUCGCUGCCCACCCGUCUAUCCCGCACCGGCUCAGCUUACCUACAAGACGCUGCGCAAGACGGGCUGAAGACGAACAGACUCACUCGAUGCACAAAUGCAACAAGCCACGUACUCACGCUGAGCUCAAGCGCUCCAAUGAAGGGAAGCAGCACGCGCUGCUCCUCCCCUCAUUCUAGCCGCUUGUGACAUCACUAAGGGCCACCCGGCUGCUCCACCAUGGAUGGGCAAGGUGGGGAGGCAAGACCACGUCACAAGACCAUAGGAUUCCAAAAGGGCACCCCAGCGUUCGAGAAAUCCGUUGGUGGUUGGAAUUCUAUCUCAGCCAAAUCCUGGAGAAGCUGGCAUGGGGUUGGCAUGACCAAAGUGCACGACACGGCGCUCGGUGCUGUUGAGCCUCUUGCUGGGCCGAUGGCAAAUCCACACUAGGGUCCUUCUUUGCGCCCUUCAAGGGCGGCUUAGAGCAGCCAUCUCUUUCACCUGCAUGGAAAUAAAGGAAGAGAA